rnacentral:lncRNA from 1 species
AAUGGGAAGGAAGGGGAAUAUAUGUUUUGCUCAGUUGUGAAGCUGGAGACAAGGAAACUUGUGCUUGUUUGGGUUUUUUUCCCAUGCAGUGAGAAAAACAUGCAAAUGAAGUGUGAAAGAGAAAUUAUUCUGAAAGCAGGCAGGAACAGCAUCACUGAAAGAACAGGGCAUCAAGAGAAUCCCAAAUCCAGGGCACAACUGAGAGAAAGCACAGAAAACUGGGACUAACACCACCACCACGUUGAUGGGCAAAGGUGAUAUUUCAAAGGGAAUAAUUGAUGACAAAUAGACGUUUCUGGUUUAAUUCUAUGGAGAUAAUUUAGAAUAGGAUGGCUGAAGAAAGCCAUUAUAUAAUUUAAAAAAAACCUGCUAUGUCACCAUUUCUCAAAGGCCAAAUCCUGCUCUUGUGUGUGUCCAGUCAGGACAACCUGAAUCAUGCACAUGAUUUAGUCACAGAGUUUUCUGUUUCCAAAGCAGGAAAAAGGCUGAAAUACCUUGUUGGAAGGAGAAGCUGGGCAAGGGAAAUAUGUUCUGCUGACCAAAAAAUGAAACCAUGUGUGAACAAUGGAAAUGCUGUACCGGUUAUCUUUAAAUCAAGUUCACUGGGACCGCCUUCGCUUUCUCAACUCUUCACUGGGAGCUGCCUCUCCUACCCACUGACUAAAUCAGCUCCUGGCUGCUCUCCGCCAGCUAAGGCAGAGAGGCUGCCAAAUAGCUUCCUGCUCAAAGAUCCCUGUAUCCUUUCUGUGCCACGGGCCAUCACCCUGCAGCUCCAGUGUUUUUCCCAGAACAGCAGUAUGGGAAGAUGUCAUGCUCUGAGCUGA